GUCAGGAUGGCCGACGCGUCUAAGACGCGCUAAGUUCCCGUCGCAGUCUCCCCUGGAGGCGUGGGUUCAAAUCCCAUUUCUGACA